UGGGGAAUAUUGCACAAUGGGCGAAAGCCUGAUGCAGCAACGCCGCGUGAGUGAUGAAGGCCUUCGGGUUGUAAAGCUCUGUCUUUUGGGACGAUAAUGACGGUACCAAAGGAGGAAGCCACGGCUAACUACGUGCCAGCAGCCGCGGUAAUACGUAGGUGGCAAGCGUUGUCCGGAUUUACUGGGCGUAAAGGAUGCGUAGGCGGAUUUUUAAGUGAGAUGUGAAAUACCCGGGCUUAACUUGGGUGCUGCAUUUCAAACUGGGAAUCUAGAGUGCGGGAGAGGAGAAUGGAAUUCCUAGUGUAGCGGUGAAAUGCGUAGAGAUUAGGAAGAACACCAGUGGCGAAGGCGAUUCUCUGGACCGUAACUGACGCUGAGGCAUGAAAGCGUGGGUAGCAAACAGGAUUAGAUACCCUGGUAGUCCACGCCGUAAACGAUGAGUACUAGGUGUAGGAGGUAUCGACCCCUUCUGUGCCGCAGUUAACACAAUAAGUACUCCGCCUGGGAAGUACGAUCGCAAGAUUAAACUUAAAUGAUUGACGGGGUCAUAGCUGUUUCCU
rnacentral:rRNA from 1 species